AACGAACGCUGGCGGCAUGCCUAACACAUGCAAGUCGAACGAUACCUUCGGGUCUAGUGGCGAACGGGUGCGUAACGCGUGGGAACCUGCCCUUAGGUUCGGAAUAACUCCCCGAAAGGGGUGCUAAUACCGGAUAAUGUCUUCGGACCAAAGAUUUAUCGCCUUUGGAUGGGCCCGCGUUGGAUUAGCUAGUUGGUAGGGUAAAAGCCUACCAAGGCGACGAUCCAUAGCUGGUCUGAGAGGAUGAUCAGCCACACUGGGACUGAGACACGGCCCAGAAUCCUACGGGAGGCAGCAGUGGGGAAUAUUGGACAAUGGGCGAAAGCAUGAUCCAGCAAUGCCGCGUGAGUGAUGAAGGCCUUAGGGUUGUAAAGCUCUUUUACACGGGAUGAUAAUGACAGUACCGGGAGAAUAAGCACCGGCUAACUACGUG
rnacentral:rRNA from 1 species